rnacentral:rRNA from 1 species
UACGUAGGGGGCAAGCGUUGUCCGGAAUCAUUGGGCGUAAAGCGCGUGUAGGCGGCUUGGUAAGUCUGCUCUGAAAGCCCGGGGCUCAACCCCGGGAGGCGGGUGGAUACUGUCAAGCUCGAGUCCGGAAGAGGAGUGUGGAAUUCCAGGUGUAGCGGUGAAAUGCGUAGAUAUCUGGAGGAACACCGGUGGCGAAGGCGGCAUCCUGGACCGAGAUUGACGCUGAUGCGCGAAAGCCAGGGGAGCAAACGGG